rnacentral:lncRNA from 1 species
UGCCAAAUUUGAGAAAAAAAUCAGAAAACAAAAGUUCUUCACACUUGAAGAACUUGCAUGCAAAACACAAACAAGAAAGCAAUCCGAAAACGUAAAGCGAAACGUAAUACGCUAGACGGUUAAGGUGUGAGUUUCGGGAUUGGACGUGAAUUUGGAGAUGUUUUGGGAAGCAAUUUCAAGUGUUGAACAACGUUAAAAUCAGGUAUGAGUUUAGUUACUCUUGGUCCCUUUCCCAAGAGACCCUUAAGACUUAGAUAAUUCUUUUCCAAAACUAGGAUUUCCCCAUUAUAUGUUCCCUAUCACUAGACCCUAUCACUGAUCUUAGGUUAGUAUGUUUGCUGGUAGAUUUGGAAUGAAGUGUGAUUUUCGUGAUAAUAUAUUCAUGAUUAUGUGGUCGGAAUUUUCUGAACGAUGAAGUAUGUCUGCCAAAAUUUCGUGAAAAAAGUAUGUCUAUGCUGUGACAUGAUUUUCAGUUUUAUGCCUUACAAAUGAUAUAUUUUUUAUGGUUGAAUUUUAUGUGAGAAUGUUUGUGUAAAUCAUGAGGUGUAUUGGUGGUGUAAUGUUGCUGGAUUUAAUGGUAAUUCUUUGCUGAACAUAAUCAUAAAAAUAUUGCACUUAAAGAUGCACCAAAUGAUCCACGAAAUGCCUUAAGAAUUAACAUAUGAAUGAUCAUAAAAAGAAGCUUAAAAUAAUGAACAAAUUUCCAGCAUUUGGUAGGUUAGGUUCGGCAAAACAAAGUUAUACAAAAUACAGUUAAAAAUUAAUGUAAAAUAAGUGAGAUCACUAAUGAUUGAUCCAAAGACAUGAUUACAUGAAAGUUAAAAAAAAUCAAAAAAAGAUUAAGAGGAAAAUGGAUUAAAAGAGACAAAAUUUCAUGCUUGCUGAAAAUUUGGAGUCUCGGUCAAGGAUGAGGAAAAUUAGCUAUUCUAUUAAAAAAAUUAAAACGUGAGUUUAUUGGGGAAUAAAUCCAUGGCCACAACAAAUGAAAAUUAUGUAAAAAUUUCAUGAGAAAAAUGAAAGAAAAAAUAGAUGUGGUGAGUGGGGAUUGAACCCACAACAUCUUUAACGGAUGAGAGAUUUAGUACAAAAAUAAAAGAGAAAAUAAAAUGUGGAGAGUGGGGAUUGAACCCACAACCUCUUGAAUGUAUGAGAGAGUUAAGAGAAAAAUAAACGAGAAUAUAAAAUGUGGAGAGUCGGGAUUGAACCCACAACCUAUUGAACGGAUGAGAGAGUUAGGAGAAAACUAAAGGUAAAAAUAAAAUGUGGAGAGUGGGGAUUUAACCCACAACCUCUUGAAUGUAUGAGAGAUUUAGGAGAAAAAAAGGAGAAAAUAAAAUUUGGAGAGUAGGGAUUGAACCCACAACCUCUUGAAUGGAUAAGAGAGUUAAGAGAAAAAUAAAGGAGAAAAUAAAUGUGGAGAGUGGGGAUUGAACCCACAACCUCUUGGAUAGAUGAGAAAGUUAAGAGAUAAAUUAAAAGAAUAAUAACAAACUUGUGGGGGAUUGAACCCACGACCUCCCUUCUUGAAAAUGAAAAAGGAGAGGAGAACAAGAAAGAAAUACUAUGGGGUUGAUGGAAAUCGAACUAGGGUCUCCCAAUCUGAAAAACGCAAUCAUCAAGUCCAAAAUAAGAUUAAGUGUUGUUCAAUGGAUUUGAAAUCGGAUUCCCUUUCCCUAUUCCGUGUUGACACAUAAGUCAUACGUAAAUGAUUUUUUAAUAAAUGACGCAACUAUAGAUCGUAAUCAAAACUUUUGCAUAUUUACAAGAUGCAUAAGUCUUGUACCACAUAAUCUUGGGUUAACAUGAAUCUCUUACACAAACUACUAAUGAAGCUUCAUUGCUUGUAUGUGUGGACUCAUAAGUGUAGCAUACAUUUAAAAGCAAGUGAGACUAACAUGUAUGUGAUGAAAUCAUGUUACCCUUGAACGGUUAAGUAAGAGUGUGAUACACACUAAUUGGCUAAGUACAUUGGCAUAUGAUGAAAUGAACAUUCACGUGAAGGGGUUAGUAAUUAUUAAAAGCAAAUGUGUUUAAGUCAAUGAAUGAUGUUAAAAUAUGAUAAGAGUCUAAUGUGAAAGAUAAGGGAAAUCUCAAAUGAGCAUAAGUAAAUGUUACUAAAACGUACUCACCUAUGAGAGUGUAAAGUUUAUAAAGAGACCAGUCUUUAUGAACACUCUAAUGAAAGUAAUGAAGUUAAUGCUACUUAAUACUAAUGAUGAGAUGAGAAAUAAUCUAAUAAGCUUUGAUUUCCUCAUGCUAGAAGCCACCUUAUGUGAUGUAUGAGUUGAAUAUAAUGGAAUUUUAUACUAAGCAGCGAUAGGCUAUCUAUGAGCGGUGAUGACUUGAUCCGGAAGGGCGGAGUUUCAUGUAAGCCUCAUGAGAUGAGACUCUCUGGCAUGAAGGGUAUGGGUCUUCUUAUAUCUCCUAGUCUUUGAACCUAUACAACCAAUAUAGCGAUCAAGCAGGGUAAAACUUCCUAUAUAUGCUAGCAUGUUUUGGUUCACUUUGUCUGGUGAUUCAACCUCUUUUCGAUGUGGAGAUUACACACUGAAUUUCAUGAUACUCAUAUGAUUUAUAUCGGUUAAGUUUAAAGUUAAAAAAGAAAUAAUUAGGUAAGCCUCAACGAAUUCACAUAACUAAAUGAACGAUACGAAAUAUGUUCGAACUAGAUAAUCAAGAGGUGAGCUAGACUGAAGUAAUAACACUAGGUUAUUCUUGGUCAUUGCACCGCGAUCCCGAUGAAAGUCUUAAACUACAUCCUAGGUAUGACUGUUGGUUGCACUAGUAUAUGAAAGAAUGAAAAUGAAGUACAUAUGAAUGAAUGAAGCAAACUAUGUGUUUGUUAAUUAUGGAUCCCUAGUAAAGGUCCCAUAAUUUGAGUCCUCAUUUUUGGUAUUCCUAAUGUCAAGUCCGUGAUUCAAAGGUCUCGUUUCAUAUGAAAUAAUGAUAUGAACUAUGUGAUAUGAUAUGUGUAAUAUGUUAUGUGCUAUUUGCAAAAUUAUAACUAUGAUGAUGCAUGUUACUCUCGUGGCAUGACUUUCCUAAUCUAAAAUUGGCAGAUCAACUGACUUGACUUUCCAUAUUUCAUAUCGAUAGGGGAGAUCGGUUCUUAAUCAUGAAUGUCCUUGGUGUGUGAUUGCAUAUACCCAUACAUAGUACAAGGGUGUACUAAUCCCAUAGAACUCUAUACUUUUAGGUGCAGGUGCAGGCGGACGGUAGACCUUACGAGAUGACACAACAGCUAUCCAAACAUGAAAUAAUAUCUGAACAUGGUUGGACCUCAUGCUUUUAAGGUUGCUCACCUAUUAUAUUCUAGCUUAGAUAUAGGUUUGAGUUAGUGGAGUAUAUUCCACUAGAAUUUCUUUCUCAGUUUAUUUCAAACAUUGUAUUUGUGUCAUUUUGUCAAGUAUGCACUUGAUGCAGUAUUGAACUAUUUCUUUCAUUUGAUGAUGUUAAUAUUACAUGGUUGAUUGUGAAUGUUUAUCAGUUUAUGCAGAAUGUUUUAUAUGAAUGUUAAGUAAAAAAAGAUCAAAUUUUCUUCUAAAAUUAACCAAGCUGAAGUAGAGAUAACUUAUGUAGGCUUGUCUGCGACUUCUGAGUGGUCAACGACGUUGGUCUUAUCAGUGGUCUAGACCCUGGUCGUGAUAAAAUUAAUAUCAGAGCAUUAGCUUAAGUUUUGAGGAUCAUAGUUCUCAUCAACCACAUCGAGUAGUUUCUAUGUCAUGGUAGUGAAGUGCACCACUAUCAUAAAUUAAAGACUACAUGAUGCAUAGGAAAAAUUCUCUUCUUCUGAUGUUAUCGUGCCUUUUCUAAUGUCUGAUUUCUUGGUGUUAAGAGCGUAUCUAACAUCGACUCUUCAUAUUUAGAAAAAUGAAUACGAGGAGAAAUGCAGGCGGAGACAUUGUAGGAGAAGCUCCUGCGGUGACUCAAGAACCUCCCCAGGCUCCACGUGCGGGAAGGGAGAUGUCUGUUAACCCAACUGGGUUGACAGAUGGAGAAGUUAAGACACUCUUUGUACAGAUGGCCCAAUCCAUCACCUUACAAGCUAAGACUAUGACAGACCAGGAAGAGCAACAGGGUGCUACCAGGAAAAACCCACCUGCCAGCACCAUAGCUACAACGUUAAGGGACUUUAUGAGAAUGAAUCCUCCCAUUUACACUGGAUCUAAGAUUUUUGAUAAUACCGAGGAGGAGUGUAAGGCAUCUAUGCUGCAUACGAGAAUAGACUUUUCCAGGCUUAUGGUUUGUGUAAAACAAGUGGAGGAAAACAGGAAGAGAAAGCAUAUAAGGGCAGGGAAGAGGUCAAGGCAAGCUUAGAAAAUUUGUUCAAGGAAGAGUAUUAAUGAAAUCAGGGAUAAGCCUGUUUUAAGAAGGGACUCUCCCACCAAGGGGAGUAAAGGUCAUCCAAGGGUCGCUAUGAUAUGUAUUCCGGGCCUAGAAUUAAGAGAAACAAUAAAGUAGAUACACCUCGGGAGAGGCCACCUCAUAGAAAGUGUGGCAACGUUCAUGGAGGAGAGUAUAGGAGGGGCUCUAUCUCUUGUUACUAGAACCAGGUCACAUUAUAAAGGAUUGUCCAUAUAUGAGAGGUCGAGGAAAAGGGAAGGAGAAAGUUCAGUCGAAUGAUCCUCGUGAAGAGGUUCCAAGGAGGCAACGAUUCUUCACACUCAUGUCUAGGGGUGUAGGGGAAGACACAUAUGGUGAUGUCUCAGGUGCUUAAACUAAAUUAGUUUUUCAUGUGUGUGAUUUUACGCACUAGUAUGAAGUUAAUAUGUUGGAGUCAUCAUGUUGACUGCUGACUUAUGUGACUUUUGUGUUUAUUUAUGUUGUAUGCUUUGAUAAGACUAGUUUAGGAAGGAGUUCCUUAGUCUAUUAAUAAGAAGUUGCUAGUAGGUUUCAAGGAUGUGACCAACCUACUAAUAUGUAAAUGAGAUAUUCACCAAAUAAAAUGCAUUGAAUAGCUUAGGUAUGGAUUUUCUCCAUAAGUGUUAUGGUACCAUGGACUAUCAAACUAGGGUGGUGAGGUUAAAGUUGCCAAAUAAGAUAGGGUAUAAAUGGGCAGGGUGUGGACCAAUCAAACAAAGACAUUUAGUUUCAAAUCUUAAGGCCAACAAGAUGUUAUCUAAGGGGUUAGAUAUACUCCUCCUAUGGCUGGUUUUAUUCAAGAAACUCUAUGUUUUAGUGCAAUAGUCUACUUGGUGUUGUUAGUCCAAAAUCAAAUGUGUAAAAAUUGCACUAUGUGAGUUAAAAUGAAUUCAUGUUUUCAUGUCAUGUUGCUAUUUUUAAAUAGCAUGGACAUGAUUUUUUUGUAUUGCCUGACAUGUGAGGUGCAUCAAGUUAAGUGUGAUUUAGAAGGAAGUUCCUCAAUCUCAAAUAUGAAGCUUCAGAUAAGCUUGAGUAAUAUGCAAUAUCAUGAGUAAGUGUGAAAUAGAAAUUAACAAAUAGUAAAUUCUCAAAUAUGUUCACAUAUUUUUGAAAAUCACCCUCAUUAUUUUAAAAAUGGUGUUUAGUAUUAUUUAGGGACAAAUUUCCCUAAGGGGGGUAUAAUGUUACAAAACUAAAAAUGACUAUGCUAAGUAAUAUCUAACGUAUCUAGAAUGCCUACAUUAGACCAGGUUCACACAAAUUAAUGCGCGUAGAAAAAGACCAGUGAACCCUUGCAACAGAAAAUCAAACUAGCUUGGGGAGUUGUUUGGGAUAGGAAAUGUUUGUUCUAGCCAUGUAGGGCUCCCAAAUAUGACGAUUUACUCGGAUGAGUCUUUACCGGACUUGAAAAGGGGAAAUCAUAAGUUUGGAGGGUCUAGGGGUAAAUAGCCUUUUUCUGGGCUAAGGGUAAUAUCAUAAUUACCCUAAAUAUAUAAUUAAUUAUUUAAUAAUAAGGUAGAGGGGAAAUUUUGAGAGAAACGGCCGAAAUAAACCAUUGAGCAAAAAUCUUGCUACACCCAGAUUCAAACCAAGGUGGGAGACAUGAUUAAGCUUUAUUAUUUAUAUUGGUUAAUUAAUUUAAUAAAGUAAUAUUUAAAUACUUAUUAAAGAAAAAUGGAAAUCAGGUUAUUAAUAUUAAUUAAUAAACUAAUGGGGCGUUUUGGGUCGGGUCGACCCGGAGGGACCCGUUUUCGCGAUGGGGACGUCACGGGUUAAAACCUGGAUGGUAUAAAACAUUUAAGUGGAUUAAAUUUAGGUUUAUAAUCUGAUAUUGUAAGGGUAUUAUGAUCAUUUCACUAAACUAAUUAAAUAAGAUUUUCAAAGUUUGAAAGAGUCCUAGUUGACUAAGUCUAAACUACUUCACAUAAUCCUAAGUCACCUCUUUCUUGUUUAUCUUUCUCUCCUUCAAGUCUAUCUCUCUCUCAUUUCACACUUUCUUUCUGUCUGCCAAACGACAUAAAAAAUUCAAAGAACAAAAGUUCUUAACACUUGAAGAACUUGCACGCAAAACACAAACGAGAAAGCAAUCCGAACACGUUAAGCAGAUUGUAAUACGGUAUCCGGGUAAGGUGUGAGGUUCAGGAUUGGACAUGAAUUUGGCGAUGUUUUGGGGCAGCAAGUUCAAGUGUUGAACCACGUUAAAAUCAGGUAUGGGUUUUAUCACGCUUUGUCCCUUUCCAAACAGACACUUAAGACUCAUAUAAUUUUGUUCCGAAACUAGGACUGUUCCCCAUUACAUGCUCUCUGUCACUAGCGCUAAGCACUGAUCUUAGGUUGGUUUAUAGUAGAUUAGGUAUGAAGUGUCAUUUUUUUGAUAAUAUGUUCGGAAUUGUAUGAAUUAUGAAGUAUGUCUGCCGAAAUUUCGUGAAAAAUGUAUGUGUGUGUUGUGACAUGAUUUUCAGUUUUAAGCCUAAAAAUGAUAUUUUUUUAUUGUUUAAUUUUAUGUUCGACUUUUUGUGUAAAUCAUGAGGUGUAAAAGUGGUGUAAUGUUUCUAGAUUUAAUGGUAAUUCAUUGCAGAAUAUAAUCAUAAAAAGAUUUCACUUAAAGAUGCACCAAAUGAGUUCAUUUGGUAGAUUGGGUUCGGAAAAACAAAGUAGUACAAAAUUAAUUGAAAAUUGAAUGUAAAAUAAGUGAAAUCACUAAAUAUAGAACCCAAUAUAUCAUGACAUGAAAGCUACAAAAAUUGACAAAAGAUUAAUAGGAAAUUUGAUUGGAGUCUCGGUCAAGGAUGAGGAAAAUUAGCUAUGAUUUGAAAAAAAAAUUAAAUGUGAGGUCAUUGGGGAUUGAAACCAUUACCUUACCAAAUAAAAGUUACAUACAAAUUUCAUGAGAAAAAAUAAAGGUAAAAUAGGUGUGGUGAGUAGGGAUUCAACCCACAACCUCUUGAAUGGAUGAGAGAGUUAGAAAAAAAAUAAAGGAGAUAAUAAAAUGAGGAGAGUGGGGAUUGAACCCAAAACCUUUUGAAUGGAUGAGAGAGUUAGGAAAAAAAUAUAGGAGAAAAUAAAAUGUGGAGAGUGGGGAUAGAACCCAUUAGGUUAAAAAAAUGGAGAAAAAUAAAAUGUGGAGUGUUGGGAUUGAACCUACAACCUCUUGAAUGGAUGAGAGAGUUACGAGAAAAAUAAAGGAGAAAAUAAAAUGUGGAGAAUAGGGAUUGAACCCACAACCUCUUGAAUUGAGGAGAGAGUUAGGAGAAAAAUAAAGAAGAACAUAAAUAUGGGGAGUGGGGAUUGAACCCACAAUCUCUUGGAUAGGUGAGAAAUUUAAAAUAUAAAUUUUAAAAAAUAAUGAGCUUGUAGGGGAUUAAACCCACAAACUCCUUGCCUUAAAAUCAAAAAGGACCGAAAUCGGGUUCCAUUGCCCAAUUCCGUAUUGACACAUAAGUCAUACGUAAAAAUAUAUUUAAUAAAUGCCGUCUCUAAAGAUCAAAAUCAAUACCUUGGCAUAUGUACAAGAUGCAUAAGUCUUGUACCACAUUAUAUUGAGUAAACAUGAAUCACUUAGAUAAACUAUGAAUGAAGCCUAAUGGCUUGUCGUAUGGACUCAUAAGUCUAGCAUACCUUUAAAAGUAAGUCACACUAAAAUGUAUGUGAUAAAAUGAUGUAACCUUAGAAGAGUUAAGUAAGAGUGUGAAACACACUAAUUGGCCAAGUGCAUUUACAUAUGAUGAAAUGAACAUUCACGUGAAUGGAUGAGUAAUUAUCAAAACCAAAUGUGUUAAAGUUAAUGAAUGAGGUGACAAUAUGAUAAGAGGCUAAUGUACAAGAUGAGAGCAAUCUCAAAUGAUCCUAAGUAAAUGUUACCAAAACGUACUCACUUCUGAGAGUGUAAAGCUAAUGAAGAGAUCAGUCUCUACGAACACUCUAAUGAAAGUAUUGAAGUAAAUACAUACUUAUUACUAUUGAUGAGAUGAGAAUCAUUUAAUAUGCUAUGAUGUCCUCAUGCUAGAAGUGAGCUUCCAUGAUGUAUGAAUUUUAUGUAAUGGAAUUUUAUAUUGAGCACCGAUAGGCUAGCUAUGAGCGGUGGUGAUGCCUUCUUCCGUGAAGGGCGGAGGUUCACGUAAACCUCAUGAGAUGACAUUGUCCACAAUGCCGGUAUGGGUCUCCUUAUAUGUCUUUGUCUUUGAACCUAUACUAACAAUAAAUGGAUCUAGCAAGGUUCAAUUCCCUAUAUAUGGUAACAUGUUUUGGUUCACUUUUACCGGUGAUUCCACCUCUUUUGAUGGGGGGGGGGGUUACACAUUAGAUUUUCUGAUGCUCACAUGAUCUAUGUUUGCUAAGGUUAAAGUUCCCAUAGAAAGAAUGAGACCAGCCUCAACGAAGGUACAUAAUGAAAUGAAGGAUACCGAAGGUGUUAGGAUAGGAUAAUAAAGAGGAGAGCUAGAUUUAAGUAAUAACACUAGGUUAUUCUUGAUCAUUACACAACGAACCCGAUGAGAGUCUUAAACUAUAUCUUAGGUAUGAUUGGUAGUUGCACUACUAUAUGAAAGAAUGAAAAUAAAGUACAUAUGAAUGAAUGAAGCAGACUCUGUGUCUGUUUAUUAAGGUUUCCUAGUUGAGGUCCCAUUUUUUGAGCCCUCAUCUAUGGAAGUCCUAAUGUCAAGUCCGUGAUUCCGAGGUCUCGUGGAAUAGGAAAUAAUUAUAUGAACUAUGUGAUAUGAUAUGUGUAAUAUGUUAUGUGCUAUUUGAGAAAUUAUAACUAUGAUGAUGCAUGUUACUCUCAUGGCAUGACUUUCCUAAUCCGAAAAUGGCAAGUCUGAUGACUUUACUUUCAAUAUUUCAUAUCGAUAUGAAUGAGCUCUUCGUAAUAAUGAAUGCCCUUGGUGUGUGCUUGUAUAUACCCAUACUUAGUAAAAGUGUGUACUAAUCUCAUAGAACUCUAUACUUUUAGGUGAAGGUGAACGUGGACGCUAGAGCUUACGAGAUGACACUGCAGCUAUCCAGACAUGGAAUAUCAUCCGUACUUUGUAGGUCCACGUGAUUUCAAGGACGCUUGCCCAUUAUAAACUAGCUUAGAUAUAGGUUUGAGUUAGUGGAGUAUUUUCCACUAGUGUUUCUUUCUCAUUUUAUUUAAGACAUUGUAUUGUUGCCAUUUUGACAAGUAUACACUUAAU